UACGUAGGGGGCAAGCGUUGUCCGGAUUUAUUGGGCGUAAAGAGCGUGUAGGCGGCCCGGUAAGUCCGCUGUGAAAGUCGGGGGCUCAACCCUCGAAUGCCGGUGGAUACUGUCGGGCUAGAGUGCGGAAGAGGCGAGUGGAAUUCCUGGUGUAGCGGUGAAAUGCGCAGAUAUCAGGAGGAACACCGGUGGCGAAGGCGGGUCUCUGGGCCGAUACUGACGCUGAGGAGCGAAAGCGUGGGGAGCAAACAGG
rnacentral:rRNA from 1 species